rnacentral:tRNA from 1 species
AAAGAAAUAUAUUUAAAAAAGCUUCUAACUUUUUAUAAAGCAUUAAAUUGUUUAU